CAGCAGCCGCGGUAAUACAGAGGGUGCGAGCGUUAAUCGGAUUUACUGGGCGUAAAGCGUGCGUAGGCGGCUUUUUAAGUCGGAUGUGAAAUCCCUGAGCUUAACUUAGGAAUUGCAUUCGAUACUGGGAAGCUAGAGUAUGGGAGAGGAUGGUAGAAUUCCAGGUGUAGCGGUGAAAUGCGUAGAGAUCUGGAGGAAUACCGAUGGCGAAGGCAGCCAUCUGGCCUAAUACUGACGCUCAGGUGCGAAAGCGUGGGGAGCAAACAGGAUUAGAUACCCCCGUAGUCCCUGUCUCUUAUAC
rnacentral:rRNA from 1 species